rnacentral:rRNA from 1 species
ACGCUGGCGGCGUGCCUAACACAUGCAAGUCGAACGGGAUUCCAUCGAAUGAGGCUUCGGCGGAUUUUGGCGGACAUCUAGUGGCGGACGGGUGAGUAACGCGUGAGCAACCUGCCUUUUAAGAGGGGGAUAACAUCCGAAAGGUAUGCUAAUACCGCAUAAGAUAUUAGUACCGCAUGAUACAGAUAUCAAAGAUUUCAUCGCUUAAAGAUGGGCUCGCGUCCGAUUAGAUAGUUGCGGGGUAAGGCCCACCAAGUCGACGAUCGGUAGCCGGACUGAGAGGUUGAACGGCCACAUUGGGACUGAGACACGGCCCAGACUCCUACGGGAGGCAGCAGUGGGGGAUAUUGCGCAAUGGGGGGAACCCUGACGCCAGCAACGCCGCGUGAAGGAAGAAGGUCUUCGGAUUGUAAACUUCUGUCUUAUGGGACGAAGAAGUGACGGUACCAUAGGAGGAAGCCACGGCUAACUACGUGCCAGCAGCUGC